rnacentral:rRNA from 1 species
UACGAAGGGUGCAAGCGUUGCUCGGAAUUAUUGGGCGUAAAGCGCACGUAGGCGGCAUUGCAAGUCGGAUGUGAAAGCCCUCGGCUUAACCGGGGAAGUGCAUCCGAAACUGGCGAGCUUGAGUACUAAAGAGGGUCGCGGAAUUCCCGGUGUAGAGGUGAAAUUCGUAGAUAUCGGGAGGAACACCAGCGGCGAAGGCGGCGACCUGGGUAGAUACUGACGCUGAGGUGCGAAAGCGUGGGGAGCAAACAGG